CAGAGCAAAGGAGAGAGAGACGCAAAAAACAGAGCCCCCGAUUCCCCUCAUCUCUCCCAGAUCGCCGCCACCUCUCCCUCCUCCGAUCCACCUCGCCGCCGGCCCUUCCCUUCCCAUCAUCCCACCGCGCAGCUCCGGCGGCUGCUGGAUCCAUCGCAUCCGCCACCCACCCAUCCCUCUCGCGUCCGAUCUCUAGCUCUCUUCACACGCCUCCUCGCCAUCUGCGAUGGCUAAUUCAGGCGACGUCCGGCGAAUCCCGCCAUCACGAAGCAUAGCCCGAGGUCCCCAUCGAAACGCAGCGUCGUCCCAUGCGACUAGAUCCGCUGCUCACGGCUACCCCCGCCCUGGCAAGGGUUUCGGCCGUCGGCUCCGGCACCGGUGGCCAGGUCGUCCUCCUUUGGUACUCCUCUCUUCCGACGUGCAGGGAGGAACAGGCUGCGUAUGCACUCCAUCGUGACACUACUGACGGUGAUGUCAAUGGACGAGAUGUGCCUCGGCGUCGACGAGCAUGCACUGAGGCGGGAAGUGGAAAAGGAAUACAUCGCCAAGCGAACUCAAUGGUACGAUGCUGGAGGUGGAAGACGUGGCCAACAUGGCUCUGUAUGUCGAGUCGGACGAGGCUAGGUAUGUGACCAUGACUUGGACUUCGAACUAUCCCUGGGAGUUAAGGCUGAACCUUCUACAUGUGUGUUGCAUAACCACUACUAGACAUUUGAAUAUAUCCGACCUCACCCAAAAAGCAUCAAGAUAAUUGAUCAACCUAAAACUAUGGAUUUAGUAACCUCUUCGUUCUGUCAGUUUUCUUGAUUAUCUAUGUCUGCCUGCUGCUUAGAUUAAAAGCAUUUGUUUGGCAGUGGCGGAGCGUGGCAAGAAGUGAAGAAACCAAGAGGGGGCCAUUUUUUAAAAACGAAAUACGCAUUACUAGGAGCAGUGUGAGCUGAUGGUUCAUUCUUUUUCAACACUGCUCACAAACAGAAGUAGACGAGUAUAUGGAGGUGUUAUUUUUCAGCCGGAAGUAUAGCUGCUACUCACGUAUGCAAGAACGACAGACAAAUUAUUUUCAGCCAUAAUUCAAGAAAACCAAGAUUGUAAUGGAGUAUAGAAUAAAAGCAUGCUGAGUACUUCGGAGUCAUGCGUUGUGGAUCAAGGCAUUGACACAGCCGACCCGCCGGCAGCGACAUGCCUCGUCGAUCAAAGGCAUUGGCACAGCCAACCGGCCUGCAGCAAUGUCGAGCACGACGGUCACCAUGUCACGGCCUGAGGGACAUUCUCAAUGUGUUGACCUCGCCGCCGAAGGAGCAGAGACAAUUGGUGCGGCACGAGGUCGUGACCGCGACGACCCUGCAGCCCGCGCACACGAGGUCAAGGGCUCGAUGCAGGACUCAUUGCCGAUACUGGAGGAGGCGCCAUGGCAGCACCAAUAGGUCUUGCAGCAUGCUACACGGUAUUGCUCCGGCCAUCUCUGGCCAUGGAUAUGCCAUCAAUUGCAGGUUUCCUGCUUGCUAUGGUGCACUGCAGGUCAUCUUUGUUUCUCAUACCAAUGGUCACACUCACAGCCACCGUGUUGUAGCCCCUUUUGGCCUCCAUGAGGCUCCGCCAGUGUCGUGUCGUAUCAUAGGGAAGGUUGCAUAUACGGACAAUCGCCACAUGCACAACACCAGUCACUGACUUAAACACAUGUCCAGAACUAAUGCCAAACAUGCAUAAAUCCAUAUCUUGAAUCUUAUGUUCUUAAACAGCAACCAUGCAUGUAAGGACAAGCCAUGUAAAUAGGAUUCAGUCAUAUUCUAAUAUGUUUUAUCCUUUUUUAUAAUUGUAAUUUUUUAUGUCAAUUAUUCUUUACUACAGGUAGCUCUCAAACUGCGCAGAGUCAAGAUUGAUGCUAUGGUACCAUUAAUGAUUCCAGCUGAAGAUAUUUGCAACCUGAACUGUUACACAAGUUUACUAUUGUGCCAAUGUGUCAUCAUGUGUUUCCAUGAUUUUUGCAAACCUUUAAUAUAUCCCCGGGUUCCUUUUCUUCUAUGCUAGAAUUGGUUUGGAAAAACUGUAUGCAACUAUGGCCAUGAAAUUGUAUUAAGAAUUAUGCAAGGAGUGAGUCAUCAUUUCUUGAAUGGGUUUGCAGUUCUAGCUCUUUGUAUACCACACAAUAUUGUGUCAUGUCUUGAUAUUAUUAUAACUUUAAUAUGAUCCAAACACACACAACUUCCUACAGAAAACUUACUAUGAAUUUUCUUUUGGCAACGUUUAUGAAACACAAAUGAAGUAAGAUGCCAGAAAUCAAUUGAAGAAAUUGAUGGAAAUUGGUAGAAAAUUAUCUUUCUAACAUUUCAGUAUUAGCAAACUGAUUCUAAUGAGAAUAGUAGAUUUGUAUACGCCAUACAGUAGGGUGUGGAUUCAUUCCUUAAGGCUGGCUUAUAAUUAUGUUCUAAUUAUAGUUUCUGUGUCAGCCCAUUCUCUUUCAUUGUAUACUUUUAAUGAUAACAGAGCGACUUCUUUUAUAAAUUCUUAGCUUCUUUUAUAGAUUCUUAGUUACUCAUGUAUGCAGGUCAGCAUCAAGGCUAUGAAGCGAAAGAUCAGACAAAGGUUUUCGCCAUGUUUGUCCUUCAGCUUAGUAACUGUACGUCUAGUUCUUUCCCCUAUUGUAGUCCUUUUAUUUGCACCGUACUUCUUGAAAGAUGAUAACUUGCAAUCAUUAUUGUAGAGUGGCCGUGCUUCUAUUUAUAUUCCUGAAAUAAACUGAAAUUUCAUUUGCAUCUCUAUAACUUCAUUUUGUUAAUAAAAAGGUUUGAUUAAUUAAGCAGUGCAAUUACAUGGCUUUAUCCUUAUUUUCCAUUGUAUCAUGUCUCCACUUCUAUUUAACAGGGAUCGUAGCUCUUGCUAUAGUUGUAAGUUGUGAUCUUAAAUGUAUUUUUUUUUGAUAUCGUGAUCCUAAAUGUACACUUGAUGGUGCUGAAAUUACAAAUGAAUUCUCGGCAGUGCAUGUUGAUAUGGCACUUGUGAAAACUGAAGAUUUGGUACGGAGUCGUAAAACGUGUAAUAUUCUCGGUAAUGCAGAAAAACAAAGAUUGCAUUGCCCUCAACCUUUAUUCAAAAGAUAUAUGGCUGAUUAUAUGGUUGCGUGGCAAGAAUACUGCAAUGAUGAUGAUGGUGUUCUACUGUUCUUGUUCAUGAUGAUGAUGAUAAUGACGACAGACGCUUUUAGUUGUAGCUAAGUUGUAGGGAUGUUGUUCCUGUUGGAUGAUGUUCGUGUUCCUCAGUUAAGUUUUUGUUAAGUUGUAGGGAUGUUGAUGGAUGCUUUCAGUUUAAGUUUUAAUGUCAAGAAAAUAUUUAGAUUAUGUAUCACAAUUGGAUGAAGUUGCUCAUGUAAUAUCUACUAUUGUAAUCCAGCAGUUCUAUCCAAUAUAUGAUUUCGGAUUUCGCCCUGUGUA